rnacentral:rRNA from 1 species
GAUUUCUGGUAUUGUACACCUUGGCGACGGUAGUAAUAUCGCCUGUCCGAGUGUCGUGCAUGCCAUCCUGCUAGUUAACUAAACACACUUAACUGGGUGGUUAGUGUUCUAGCUCAUUUACUUUGAAAAAAUUAGAGUGUUUAAAGCAGGUUUGCGCCUUGAAUACAUUAGCAUGGAAUAAUAAUUUAGGACUUCUGCCUAUUUUGUUGGUUUCUAGGUUUGGAGUAAUGAUUGAUAGGGAUAGUUGGGGGUGCUAGUAUUCAUCGGCCAGAGGUGAAAUUCUUGGAUUCGAUGAAGACUAACUAAUGCGAAAGCAUU